ensembl:lncRNA SNHG14 small nucleolar RNA host gene 14
GGAUCGAUGAUGAGAAUAAUUGUCUGAGGAUGCUGAGGGACUCAUUCCAGAUGUCAAUCUGAGGUCCAGAUGUGUGGCCCUCCAAUAGGACAAAUAAGACUCUCAGAGCCUGGCUCUAUUUGGGGAUCCCUCAGUGACAACAUAGUACCUCUGUGAGCGUGCCUUUUCUAUCUCUCCGAAGAGGGCAUUAGCAUCCUGUCUUAUGAGUCAGUAUGCACUUUAGUAUGGUUAGUGACCCAAGACUCACUUUAUUUUGUUCAUUUUGAGCAGAGAAUUGUAGAUAGAUACAUAUAUGGGAAAUAUGUUCUUGAUUAACAAAUGAAAAAAUGAAAAAGUUUCAGUCAAGAAAGGUCAAGGAACUGUGAUGUAUAGUGAAGGCAGGGAACACUGCAUGCCUGUAUUAAAUAUUGACAAAGGAACCAAUUUUAGUGCUUUGUUAUUUUUACUGUUGAGUAUUUUCUGAGACCAUUUCUUUUUCUUCUAUUUUGUUUUGCUGAGGUAGAGGAGGGCUGGAAUGAGGUCCUCCACUUCAGAAAAUAGGGGUGAGUAGUUAAACCAACAUCCUUUGGAAUUCAUAUACGUCAUGCGUUCCAUGCCACAUCCUGAGAUCUUUUUGUUGAUUUUUUUAGUGGCUUACUGGAUAAUAUCUAAAUACUGUAUAUUUUACUUUGGUGAGUCUCUCCACCUUCAUUUCUGAAUCAUUGUCCUUUACAUUUUUAUUCUAUUUGAAUUUUGCAUGAAAUGACAAAUGUAGAAUUUUGCCCAAUUUAUUUUAUUUAUUCAUUUAUUUAUUUGGGAAGACAAAGUCUCUCUCUGUCACCCAGGCUGGAGUACAUUGGCCCAGUCAGAGCUCACUUCAGCUCUUCACCCUGUAGCCCUUAACUCCUGGGCUCAAGUGAUCCUCCACCCUCAGCCUCCCAAGUAUCUAGGAAUACAGUUGUCAUGGGAGGCCAGCCGCCUGCUGGCAAGGAAGAUGGUUGAUUCUUCUGAUCAAUGGAGGCCCUGCAGAGUCCUGUAGUCACUGUGGCCUGGCAUCCAUGGUGCACCCAAUGCUGGUGGAUGGCUUAGGACGAGGCAGUUGCUGUGGGAGGUGUGGUAACUGCUGGAAGGAAGAUGCUCAAUUCUUCUGAGCAACGAAGGCCACACGGAGUCCUGGAUUCUGUGUGGCCUGGCAUCCAUGGCGCACUGUGUGCUGGCAGGUGGCUCAGGACGGGGCAGUUAUCAUGGGACACCCGCCAUAUGCUGGCAAGGAAGAUGGUCAGUUCUUCUGAGCCACAAAGGCCCCCAACAUCCUGGAGUUGGUGUUGCCUAGCAUCCACGGUGCGCCCCCUGCUGGUGGAUGGCUCAGGAUGGGGCAGUUGCCGUGGGAGGCCCGCUGCCUGCUGGAAGGAAGAUGGUCAGUUCUUCUGAACCACAAAGGCCCUGCAGAGUCCUGGAGUCUGUGUGGCCUGGCUUCCAGGGUUCACCUCAUGCUGGUGGAUUGCUCAGGAUGGGUGCCGAAGGUCUUUAAGGUCGUCAGCUCACCUACUGCCCAGCCUGUGGUGUCAAAUGUCCUGCCUCUUCAAAUGUGUUUGGAUCGAUGAUGAGUCCCCCCAAAAAAACAUUCCUUGGAAAAGCUGAACAAAAUGAGUGAAAACUCAUACCGUCGUUCUCAGCGGAACUGAGGUCCAGCGCGUUGCCUCCAGCAGGGACUGUUGGAGUGAGGGAGAGCUUCCACUAGUCCCUAUAGGUUCCACCACCCAGGGCAUCCGCAGGGACAGUUGCCGUGGGAGGUCCGCUGCCUGCUGUCAAGGAAGAUGGUCGAUGCUUCUGAGAAACAGGCCCUGCGGGUUCCUGGAUUUGGUGUGGCCUGGCAUCCACGGUGCACCCCGUGCUGGCGGGUGGCCCAGGACGGGGCAGUUGCCUUGAGAGGCCCACCGCCUGCUGGCAUGACAGAUGGUCAGUUCUUCCGAGCAGUGGAAUCUCCAUGGAGUCGUGGAGUCGGUGUGGCCUCGCAUCCACAGUGCACCCUGUGCUGGUGGAUGGCUCAGGACAGGGCAGUUGCCGUGGGAGGCCUGCCGUCUGCUGAAAGGAAGAUGGUUGAUGCUUCUGAGCAAUGAAGGCCCCAUGGAGUCCUGGAUUCGGUGUGGCCUUGCAUCCGUGGUGCACCCCGUGCUGGUGGAUGGCUCAGGACGGGGCAGUUGCCAUGGGAGGCGCAGGCCUGCUGGAAGGAAGAUGGUCGAUUCUCCCAAGCAACAAAGGCCACGUAGAGUCCUGGUUUCAGUGUGGCCUGGUAUCCACAGUGCACCCCGUGCUGGUGGGUGGCUCAGGACGCACACUCAUUUCCUCUGCACCUUCCUGGUGUCAUUGGCAUGGAAGGAAGGCCCUUGUCCAAGAAGGAUGGUCUUCGUCUUGUGUGAUCUUUGAGAUGCCAUGAGGCCCCUGGAUACAAAUGGUGUGGGCUCCUUUGGAGGCUUUUGGAUUUCUCCUGAAUGUGGCGUUGGUAUGGAAGGAAGGCCAGUGACCGCAAGGGAUGACUUUGAUCUUGGGAGAUUUUUGGAGAUGGCAAAGUGCUUCUAAACAUGUUUGGCAUGGUCUCCUUCAGGCUGGUGGAUACCUCAGGAUGGUGGCGUUGGCAUGGAAGGAAGGACUGUGUCUGUGAGGGAUGAUCAUCCUCUCAUGUGAUCCUUGGAGAUGCCAGGAAGCCCCUUGACACAUGUGGCAUGGGCUCCUUCAGAGGCUUUUGGAUCCGUCGUGAAUGUGGUGUGGGCAUGGAAGGAAGGCCAGUGGAGACAAUGGAUGAUCUUGUUCUUAGCAGAUCACUGGAUGUGGCAGGGAGUCCUAGGACAUGUGUGGUGUGGGCUUCUUCAGGUGCUGGUGGUGUUGGCAUGAGGAAAGGAGGUAUCUUCGAGGGACAAUCUUCUUCUUGUGCGAUCCUUGGAGAUGCCAUGAGGCCCCUGGACACAUGUGGUGUGGGCUCCUUUGGAGGCUGUUGUAUCCCUUCUGAAUGUGGCGUGGGCAUAGAAGGAAGGCCAGUGGCCACGAGGGACAAUCUUGGUCUUGGGAGAUCCUGGAAAUGAUAGGGAGUCCCUUGAUAUGUGUGGCAUGGGCUCCUUCAGGUGCUAGUGGAUUCCUUAGGAUGGUGGUGUUGGCAUGAAAGGCAGGCUUGUAUCAUGAGGAAUGAUUGUCAUCUUGUCUGAUUCUUGGAGAUGGCAGGAAGCCCCUGGAAACACAUGGUGUGGACUCUUUCACAGGCUGUUGAAACCCUCCUGAAUGUGAGGCCAGAGACAGGCAGACAGCAGAUGUAUUGCAGGGAGCUGGAUGACAUGGCCCUUGGAACCUGUGCACAUGCCUGCCUUUCUGAUGCACGUCCAUGUUUUCUCUGCACCUCCCCGGUGGUGUUGGUAUAAAAAGCAGGCUUACAUCAGCAAGGGAUGAUUGUCGUCUCAUGCGAUCCUGGGAGAUGGCAGAAGUCCCGGGACACAUGGAGUGUGGGCUCUUUCGGAGGCUGUUGGAUCCCUCCUGAAUGUGUUGUGGCCAUGGAAGUAAGGCCAGUGGCUACGAGGGACAGUCUUCAUCUUGGGAGAUCCCUAGAGAGGGCAGGGAGCCCCUUGACAUGUGGAAUGUGAUCUCUGUUGGGUGCUGGUGGAUCCCACAGGUGGUCUGGCAUGGAAGAAGGCCAGAGGCUGCGAUGGAUCAUCUUUGUCUUGGGAGAUUCCUGGAGAUGGUGGGGAGCCCCUGGGCACGUGCAGCAUAUGUGGCGUGGGCUUCUUCAGGUGCUGGUGGAUCCCUCAGGAUGCUUUUCAAGGUUUUUCUAUGAGUUCUGUUAAAGAGUCUGAAAAUGGAGCGUAGAAGACAUGCUUCGAUUUCCAGGAUGGUUGUGUUUUCCAGAGAGGCGGAGUUCAUUGUGGAACCAGCACAGAUUUUCAUACGAAAGUUAUUUCUUUUUAACCUCAAAAAGUGACAGAAUGGAGUGUAUCAUGAAAAAGUCUGACAUCAAAACCUCAAAAUGUGAUAUUGAUUGGGUGAGAUAGAAUUCCAUGGAAUUUCAUUGCCAAACCAGUGAAGUGCUAAUUUUGACAUUUGUACCAGCUAACGUAGCUGUGAAGAAACACACCAAUACACUUCUAAGGACAGCAUAGACCAAGAUCUAGGUUUCAUAUGGAUGAAUUUAUUCUUCCCUUUGAGGCAAGACAAGAAGGAAAGAAAGUAUUGGGAAUAAUGCUGCCCUCCCAUCCUCAAGGGCCAGUGGGAACUCUAAUAUUGAUUGGUUUUCACAGAAUUCCAUGGACUUUAACUGCUGAACCAAUGAUGCACUGAUUUUGUCACUUGUACCAGCUAACGCAUCUGGGAGGCAACAAAACAAUACUCUCCUGAGGUUAAUGUGGACCAAAAACUAGAUUUCAUAUAAAAGAGUUUAUUCCUUCUACUUGAGGUGUGACAUGAAGGAAAGUAAUGGAAAUAAUUCUGCCCUCCCAUUCUCAAGGGCCAGGGGGAAUUCAAAUAUUGAACGGAAGUGAUUUUGGAAUUGCAUGGAAUUCUCACUGCCAUCCCAAAGAAAUGCUGAUCUUGUCACUCUUACCUGUUUCAUUCCCUGGGGGCAGAACAAAAGGACGCACUCCAAAGAUCGGCAUGAACCAAGAACUGGGUUUCAUAUAAAAUAUUUUAUUCUGUCCUCUUGAGAUGUGACAUGAGAAAAGUAUUGAGAAUACUUCUAUCACCUCAUCUUCAAGAAUCCGUAGGAAUUCUCCCAUGGUGGACUUUACGGUUAACCUGAACAGGUCUUGGAAAAAGGACUUUAAACAUUCUCCUGUUCUGUGGAAUAAGUAUACUUUUUUCUGGACAUACACCUUGUCAGUGAGUUCCAUGUGAUACUAGAGUUGCAUAGAUUUUUAACCUUUACGCCAAUGAAGAUCUGAGGCAAACAUUGCCCCUUUUUUAGAAGUUUGCAUUUGUCACUGAUAACUGUAAUAAUUGAUCUUGUUGAAAAGCCUGGGAAAUGAAGAUCUGAUAUGUCACUUUUACCGGCUUCCUCAACUGAAAAAGAAUACAAUGAAACACGCUGAGAAUUUUUGUGCUUUCUCAGUCUUGCUGAUGAUCUUUCUAUGGGCCUGAAGCGUGGAGAGUGCCAGAGAGGCUGAUCCUCAGCAGUGUGGCAGAGGAAAGUUGGGUGCGACUAAGGGGUAUGCGGUGCCCACAUGCCACUGGGUCCUCAGCAGUACCACCUGAUUGGAAGUGAUAUUGGUGGAAGACAACAUUUUGCCGCUUGGAAUUCUCACCUCCACACCAAAGAAGUACUGUUUUUGUCAUUUGCACCAGCUUCUUUCUCCAGGAAAGAUCAAAACGAUGCACUGCAAGUGUGAUUGGUCCAGAUAGCUGCCUUAUCCAACUGCCUCCUUUGGACCACUUCAUCAUGGGACAGCUUGAUGCAAUCUACUUGACAAGACCCUGGAACCCCACACCCCUCAUGGAACCAGUGUCCACCUCCCAGUCACAGUGUGACCCCAGGGAACUCUUGCCUGCUUGCUUUAAACCCACCACUUAAAAGUCUCCACAGAAAACCUGUUUGAAUAGUACCCUUGACCCAAUAAGGGCAUUGGCCCCUGGGUGUCUCUCUCUCUCUCUCUCUCUCUCUCUCCCUCUCUCUCCCUCUCUCUCUCUCGCUCCCUGACCUCUGCGUGUGGACUCCAGGCAUGCCAUAUACCCCUCAGGACCUGAAGCAAAAGAAUGAAUUAAAGAAAACUCCAGAGAAUGAGCUGACAACCUACUCCCUGGUCAGUGGCUCUCCAUGCCUACCUGUGGUCUCUUGGACACCCUUGCAGAAGAUGACUUCCUGGGAACUCUUCUGGGAGUGAAUGUUAUCAGCAAAUUCCCAAAACAACACCCCUUAGACAAAAAGCCUCCUCACCUAUGCAUUGCCUAGACCACCCACUAAAGGUGAUGGCCACAAAGAGGUGGAUUUGUUGAGUUGGUGCCAUUCCUUCUACUGCCAGCUUCACCAAAACAAUGACACAGUCUUCCUUCCGCAUGGAGACUCUUCUCUUUCCUGUGUUGCAGUGGAUGCCUCCUGCAGAUAAGAAAUGCUUAACUGAGAAAUGCUCAUGUUGGGAUAUCAUCGAUGAGACUUUAAUUUGGGCAUGGUGACUGUUUCCCUUGCUGCCACUUGACUCAAUCCCAGGAGCCUCAGUAGAGGAUAUAAUAUUACACAAGAUGCUCAAAAUGGUGGAAUUGCUCAGUGCUCCCAUAAAUAUACAUUUAUAAUUUUCAUUUGCCACAUGGUAAACUGAAAAAUACAGACUAUAUUAAAAAGAAACUGCAUGAUUUUUUUUCAAAAAUUCAAAGCAUAUUUAAAUAAUAUAUAAAUUAAAUGCCCUCCUCUCUUCCAAUUCUGUCCCUAUAGUUUUCCUCUAUUAAGUGAACUACAUGCAUUCUUUUAGUGGAUAGAUGCACACAAACACACAAGCCAUUAUGGGGAAGGAUCCACGUGUGUGGCCAUAUUGUAACACAUUUUUCUGCAAAUCACCUCUUUCAUUUAACAGCCCUUAUUCAAUGGCCUUUUUCUUUUUCAGUAGUACAUACACAUCUGUGUCAUUUGUUGAAUGACGACAUGAAUGUUUUGUAGAUAAAAUAUAAUUAAAUGUUUUAAGCAUUUCUCACUCAUAGAUAUUUAUGUUAGCACCAAAUUUCUGUGCAAUGAACCUCCCUAUAUAUCAGUAAUUUUGCAUUUGUCUAUAAUAUCAUAAUAAAUUACUUAUCAGUUGAAUUACUGGGAUUAAGUAUGUGCACACUUUAUAUUUAUAUUUUGAAAAUUAUUGCAAGAUUGCCUUCAAAAAUGUGGUUAACAACUUUAUCUUCAAAUGGCAAUGAAUGAGAUUGCCAGCUUUCCUACAGCCUCACAGACAAUGGAUUUUAUAAAUAUUUAACAUUUUUGCCAAUGUGAUCACCCAAACUAUUGUCUUAAAUUGUAUCUCUUUUGUUUUUGAGUUUGGUCAUUUUUUCAUGUUUAUUAGCCAUCUGUAUUUUUUAAUUUCUUCUUUAUGUCCAAUUUUGUGGGUGGGAGGAGGAUUUAGUCUCUUCCUGAUUUCGAAGAGCUCAUUUACUAUUUCGGGAAAUAAGAUUUGGAUUGUCAACCAUUAUAGCUAUUUUUUACACACUUUUCAACUUUGUUUUUGUUAUAAGAAUGUGUAUGAUUGUUACAUGUCCAAGUAUAACCAUGUUCGCUUUUAUGGCUUCUGAGUUUCAUGUCAUUUUUGGAAAGAUAUAUAUAUUGAGUCCAUAAAACCCUUCACCUAUGUUAAAUUCUAAUUCUUUUGUGUUUUUUUAAUUCAAAUUCUUAAAUCAUGAGAAAUUUUUUUGUUUUGAAAUCUUAAAGUUGCCAAGUUACUUGCCAUUACUUGCGAUUAUUUGCCAAUAAUUGCCCAUUUAUCUGUACCGCCAUCUUGCGCAUAUGCUGUACUCUCAUCUGUGACUGGCUCCAUUUUUGUUCUGUGGAUUUGUGUGUCUCUUCUUCUGCCUCCUGUCUCGUGUCUGCUCGUUGGAAGAAAUUACAGUUUAGACUGCAAUUUCAUCAACUUUAAUAAAUCAAUUGAGGGGAGAAUUGGUUUUUAAAAAUAUUAAGUAAGUCUUCGUAUCCAAGGACAAGGUAUGUCUUUUCUUAUUCAAUAAUUUUAAUUACUGUUAAUAUUUUCACUGUGGUGAUGGGAGUUUUUCUUUUAAUUUAUUUUCUUGUUCAUUUUUUGUAUCUAAAGUUUUUGUUUUGUUUUGUUUUGGGGGUAAGUUGUCACCUUACUGUUUCUUGUUGCUUUUCAGAUUUUUUCAAAGUAUAGACUAAAUCCUUCACAAAUAUUUAAAGUUUUUAUUUUCCCCCUUCAUAUUGAUCCUGAUUUUAGUUAUGUUGACAAAGUCCACAGACUGUUACUAUCAGAACACUUGAACAGUUAUGGAAAUAUUACCUACCCUUGAUUUAAUCAGAGUUUAAUGGUAUGCUUCUUUGGUUUGACUGGCACAUUGUCGCUGGUCAUUUCCUCCCAAAGACCACCAGAAAGAGCUAUGAUCAAGCAAAGCUGAGUUUGUUAAACUUACCUGCAGCAAGGGAAAACACCACCUUGAUAGGGUUUAAUAAUGUUUCAAAAUCAAGAAAUGAGGCUUUGGGGUCUGGGCAGGGAACUAAUUAGAAAUGGGCAAAAUUUGUCAUGCAAUACCUUGUGGGAAAGUGAGAUGAGGUUCUUAAUGUGAGUAUUGAUGGUGAAAUCAUUUUCUAGGUGAGCUGUUUGCCUAUAUAAAGAUGUUAUCAAUGACAGAAGAACUAUUUGCCUAGAUAAACAAACUGAAUUUAUUUAUUGGUUUACAGUUUUAUCUUGCUGGGCAGGACUCUGCUGGGGGUGGUAUCAGGUCUUAUUCCCAAUAGGUAAGUUAUUUGGAUAUGGGUGGUCUUAAUCAUCAAUGUGUAAAAUGCUGAUUUUAAGUGCGAAAUACUUUGUCUACCAUGUUAGGAAAGUCUGCCACCUUUUAUCUUUUUUAAGGAAUUUUAAUCAAAACCAGGUGGUAGAUAUAAUCAAAUUGUUUUGCAGAAUCAAUUUUCCUGUUCUCUUUAAAGACUUUUAUCACUGUGAAUUAAUUUACUAUUAUUGCAACUUCCUUUAAUUCCUUGAAUGAACAGACCCUACUGGUUUUAAAAAUGUUUUAUUCUUUUAAUUUACUACUUAAUUGUGGGUAUUUUAAUUUGAUUUGGAAUUUUUACAAGUAUACAACUAAGUGAAAUUGAUCUGUGAUUUUUCUUUUUUGUGCUAUUUUUGUCAUGUUUUGAUAUCAGAUAUUCUGGUUGUGUUAAAAUAAUUUUGAGGAUUUUCUUCUUAUACUGUGUUCUAGAGUGGGUAAAAAAGCCCUAGUCUCACUAUCAGUGUUUAAGUGAACACAUCAGUGACAUCAUCUGGACUCUCCUUUGUUUUUGCUGGUUUGGAGUUAGGACAUCUAGAAGUUUUUUUCUUUUUUUCCUUUUUUUGUAUGGUUAUUGCUUGUUCUUUGUUUUGUGUCAAAUUUAACCUGUUUUCUCUUAGCAAAUCACAGCUCAUGCAGAUUUUCAAACACAUUAGCCUUGUUAUACAAAGUGUUCUUUCAUCAUUCUAUUAAAUUUCCAUUUUCAUUCCAGUUAUAGUUAUUUCUGCUGUGCCUUUGUUAAUGAAUAAGUUUAAACAGUGGAUGUUUAGCAUCACUAGCCUUCCCCUUCCAUCUCCCUUAAUCAGGACCUUGGUAUAAUUUAUCAGGUAUUUUUUAAGGUUCUAAUUUACUUAUAUAUAUUGUUUCUGUAUUCUUUUGUUUCUUUUCUUAAUAAAUUCUUAAA